UUGGAGGGCAAGUCUGGUGCCAGCAGCCGCGGUAAUUCCAGCUCCAAUAGCGUAUAUUAAAGUUGUUGUGGUUAAAAAGCUCGUAGUUGAACCUUGGGCCUGGCUGGCCGGUCCGCCUCACCGCGUGUACUGGUCCGGCCGGGCCUUUCCCUCUGUGGAACCCCAUGCCCUUCACUGGGUGUGGCGGGGAAACAGGACUUUUACUUUGAAAAAAUUAGAGUGCUCCAGGCAGGCCUAUGCUCGAAUACAUUAGCAUGGAAUAAUAGAAUAGGACGUGUGGUUCUAUUUUGUUGGUUUCUAGGACCGCCGUAAUGAUUAAUAGGGACAGUCGGGGGCAUCAGUAUUCAAUUGUCAGAGGUGAAAUUCUCGGAUUUAUUGAAGACUAACUACUGCGAAAGCAUUUGCCAAGGAUGUUUUUAUUAAUCAGGAACGAAAGUUAGGGGAUCGAAGACGAUCAGAUACCGUCGUAGUCUUAACCAUAAACUAUGCCGACUAGGGAUCGGACGAUGUUAUUUUUUGACUCGUUCGGCACCUUACGGGAAAC
rnacentral:rRNA from 1 species